rnacentral:snoRNA from 1 species
UCCCGAAUUGAUAACUGGAUGGUUUGAUCGGUGUUUUCUUCAUUAAUGAAGAAACGUUCAGUCCCUUUCUGUCUUUUAAGUAUUCGGAAAAACAACCUUUAGGAAAUGCUUCUUACACGAUGGAUAACAUCUUUUCGAUUGUGUCGAUCGUUUACUUUUCCUGGACAUUU